rfam:Brassica napus, WGS project CCCW01000000 data, contig: 1636
CUGACAGAAGAGAGUGAGCACACAAAAGUAAUUUGCAUAUGUUGUAUUUGCGAUCUCUUGCGUGCUCACUGCUCUUUCUGUCAG